rnacentral:tRNA from 1 species
GCGUCGGUGGUAUAACGGUUAGCAUAGCUGCCUUCCAAGCAGUUGACCCGGGUUCGACUCCCGGCCGACGUU